rnacentral:rRNA from 1 species
GAUGAACGCUGGCGGCGUGCCUAAUACAUGCAAGUCGAGCGAACAGACGAGAGUGCUUGCACUCUCUGACGUUAGCGGCGGACGGGUGAGUAACACGUGGGUAACCUACCUAUAAGACUGGGAUAACUUCGGGAAACCGGAGCUAAUACCGGAUAAUAUUUAGCUUCGCAUGAAGCAAUAGUGAAAGACGGUUCUGCUGUCACUUAUAGAUGGACCCGCGGUGUAUUAGCUAGUUGGUGAGGUAACGGCUCACCAAGGCAACGAUACAUAGCCGACCUGAGAGGGUGAUCGGCCACACUGGGACUGAGACACGGCCCAGACUCCUACGGGAGGCAGCAGUAGGGAAUCUUCCGCAAUGGACGAAAGUCUGACGGAGCAAUGCCGCGUGAGUGAAGAAGGUUUUCGGAUCGUUAAACUCUGUUGUAAGGGAAGAACAAGUACGUUAGUAACUGAACGUACCUUGACGGUACCUUACCAGAAAGCCACGGCUAACUACGUG